rnacentral:rRNA from 1 species
UACCAGCUCUUCGAGUGGUGUGGAUGUUUAUUGGGCCUAAAGCAUCCGUAGCUGGCUGGGCAAGUCCCCUGUUAAAUCCACCGAUUUAAUCGUUGGAGUGCGGGGGAUACUGUUCGGCUAGGGGACGGGAGAGGCAGACGGUAUUUUCGGGGUAGGGGUGAAAUCCUAUAAUCCCGGGAAGACCACCAGUGGCGAAGGCUGUCUGCUAGAACGCGCCCGACGGUGAGGGAUGAAAGCUGGGGGAGCGAACCGGAUUAGAUACCCGGGUAGUCCCAGCUGUAAACGAUGCAGGCUAGGUGUUUGGGCGGCCACGUGCCGCUCUAGUACCGCAGGGAAGCCGUUAAGCCUGCCGCCUGGGGAGUACGGCCGCAAGGCUGAAACUUAAAGGAAUUGGCGGGGGAGCACCACAAGGGGUGAAGCUUGCGGUUU